rnacentral:rRNA from 1 species
UACGAAGGGGGCUAGCGUUGCUCGGAAUCACUGGGCGUAAAGGGUGCGUAGGCGGGUUUUUAAGUCAGGGGUGAAAUCCUGGAGCUCAACUCCAGAACUGCCUUUGAUACUGAGGAUCUUGAGUUCGGGAGAGGUGAGUGGAACUGCGAGUGUAGAGGUGAAAUUCGUAGAUAUUCGCAAGAACACCAGUGGCGAAGGCGGCUCACUGGCCCGAUACUGACGCUGAGACGCGAAGGCGUGGGGAGCAAACAGG